UACGGAGGGUGCGAGCGUUGUCCGGAAUCACUGGGCGUAAAGGGCGCGUAGGCGGCCGAGCAAGGUCGCGGUGAAAGCCCGGGGCUCAACCCCGAGUCGGCCGUCGAUACUCCCGUGCUUGAGCACUGUAGAGGCAGGUGGAAUUCCGGGUGUAGCGGUGGAAUGCGUAGAGAUCCGGAAGAACAUCGGUGGCGAAGGCGGCCUGCUGGGCAGUGUCUGACGCUGAGGCGCGACAGCGUGGGGAGCAAACAGG
rnacentral:rRNA from 1 species